AGCUUUUCUGAACUAGAAGUGUCUGAUGAGAUUUCCUUUAUUUUAUGGCUUAAACUGAAUCCUCGGUGCACCAGGGAGAAAGAAUGAUGGAAAAUUUUAAUGUUUUGCUAGUGAUCCUGUGGUUUCAGUUUAUCUGGGUGAGCAGCCAGCAGAAGGAGGUGGAACAGAGUCCUGAGUCCCUCAGUGUCGCAGAAAGAGCCAUCGCCUCUCUCAACUGCACUUAUAGGGUCAGCAGUUCUCAGUAUAUUGGGUGGUACCGACAGCAUCCUGGGAAAGGUCUGGAGUUUCUCAUGUCUGUAUACUCCAAUGGUGACCAAGAAGAAGGAAGAUUCAGAGCACAUCUCAACAGAGCCAACCGCUAUGUUUCCCUGCACAUUAGAGACUCCCAGUCCCUUGACUCAAGGGUCUGGGCAAAGGCAAAGCAUGAACUCGAACUGCAGGUCCGGCAGCUGCUGGAGCACUUGCUCACUUGGCGCAGUGUGCGCAGGGCUUAG